UACGUAGGGUGCAAGCGUUAAUCGGAAUUACUGGGCGUAAAGCGUGCGCAGGCGGUUAUGCAAGGCAGGUGUGAAAUCCCCGGGCUCAACCUGGGAACUGCAUUUGUGACUGCAUGGCUAGAGUACGGUAGAGGGGGAUGGAAUUCCGCGUGUAGCAGUGAAAUGCGUAGAUAUGCGGAGGAACACCGAUGGCGAAGGCAAUCCCCUGGACCUGUACUGACGCUCAUGCACGAAAGCGUGGGGAGCAAACAGG
rnacentral:rRNA from 1 species